AGUGAACGCUGGCGGUAGGCCUAACACAUGCAAGUCGAACGGCAGCACAGUAAGAGCUUGCUCUUACGGGUGGCGAGUGGCGGACGGGUGAGGAAUACAUCGGAAUCUACUUUUUCGUGGGGGAUAACGUAGGGAAACUUACGCUAAUACCGCAUACGACCUACGGGUGAAAGCAGGGGAUCUUCGGACCUUGCGCGAUUGAAUGAGCCGAUGUCGGAUUAGCUAGUUGGCGGGGUAAAGGCCCACCAAGGCGACGAUCCGUAGCUGGUCUGAGAGGAUGAUCAGCCACACUGGAACUGAGACACGGUCCAGACUCCUACGGGAGGCAGCAGUGGGGAAUAUUGGACAAUGGGCGCAAGCCUGAUCCAGCCAUACCGCGUGGGUGAAGAAGGCCUUCGGGUUUUAAAGCCCUUUUGUUGGGAAAGAAAAGCAGCAGGUUAAUACCCCGCUGUUCUGACGGUACCUAAAGAAUAAGCACCGGCUAACUUCGUG
rnacentral:rRNA from 1 species